rnacentral:rRNA from 1 species
AAGGGCACCACAAGAACGCGUGGAGCAUGUGGCUUAAUUUGACUCAACGCGGGAAAUCUUACCGGGUCCGGACACACUGAGGAUUGACAGGUAUUAUUACACUUUAUCACUUCGGUGAUAAGUGUAUGUUAAAUAUGCUAGUCCUUUCAUGAUUAUGUGAUAGGUGGUGCAUGGCCGUUCUUAGUUCGUGGAGUGAUCUGUCUGCUUAAUUGCGUUUCACUAAAGGUCUAUAAUUUAACGUAUGUUGCUGGCGCUUUGACCCCUCAUUAAUUUGAGCGCGUGUCUUAGUUAUGCUUAGCUCAUACAUUUAGACCUUGAAAGCAACGAACGUGACCGCAACCUCUUGUUGCCUUUAUACCAAAUGCGUCAUACGAUUUUUAUCGCAAUGUCGCACAAAAAGGCCUUUUAAACUAGAGGGACCGCUGUUACUUUCUUAAACCAGAGGAAGGUUGCGGCAAUAACAGGUCUGUGAUGCCCUUAGAUGUUCCGGGCUGCACACGUGCUACAAUGAUUAUUGCAGUGAGCAUCUCAUUUUAUUACACACCGCAUGCGCGAGUCCAUUUAUUCACUUCGGUGCUUUAAAUGUGUAUCUCUGCGCGCGGUAAAGCCUGCUUCGAAAGUAAGUGGGUAAUCAAUUAGAAGUAAUGAUUUCCUUUUUUUAUUCGCACACAUAUAUACGGCAACUUUACCCGGCCUGCCUUGUUGCAGUGUCUCUGUGUGUAUUGUUGUUUUUUUCCGUAUGUGCAAUUGUCAAUUCAUGGUGGGGACAGACCAUUGUUAAUUGUUGGUCUCGGUCUUAACUAGGAAUGCCUUGUACGGGUCUUUGGUUCAACAAACCACCCGGAAUACGUCCCUGCCCUUUGUACACACCGCCCGUCGCUCUUACCGAUGGACUUCUCUGUGAGUUUGAGGGACUGGAUAUUUAUUUCUAUGGAAACUUAAACGAACAGUGUGGUCUAAAGGAAAGAGAAGUCGUAACAAGGCAUCGGUAGGUGAACCU